CACACACACACUCACACACACACAUACACACCAUAAUAGAUCUAUUUUGGUAAGUAAGAAGUGAAGAUGUGUUUUUGCUGCAAAUGCAGAAUUGUGCCGAGGUACUUAGAGGAAGUGCAACCGGGGUUGAGAUAAGAAGCCGUACGUGGGGCGACACCGGAAUGGAGAUGAGACGUAAUGUUCUUUAAACUAUGUUAAAGUUCACGGAACAUUUUGUGGUUUAAGUGACGUAAGCUGUACUUUGUCUAUUUUUGCAAAAGAGGGGGCUUUGUUAUUGUACUCAUAUAAAACCGUUGUCUAAUUGUUGUAAGCUCAGUUCGAUUGCUGACUUUGCCCAGCUUCGGACUCCACGCGUGUUAUCAAUAAAUCUUUGCUUUGAUCACAUCUUCUGGACCAGAGUUGUUAUUUGCUGGUGAGCCCUCCGUACUCCUUUUCUCCAACUUUGAACCUUAACAUUUGGGGGCUCGUUCCGGUGGUUGGAGAGAGGAGAAGACCAGGGAGGCGCUGGACAGGGUCCGAGGUGGUCAGGCGGACAGACGGUAAUCAGUGAUGGAAGUGAGGGGACAUUCGCCGGCGAAUUAAAAAAGGAGAAGACGAGGAAGCGGCUGUCAGAGUGGUGAGACGGGUUGUGGAAACCGAAAGUGAAGGACAACAGAGUAGCUCAGGAGGAGGAGCCAGAAAACGUCACGGGAGGAGGUGAGUGAGUGUGUGGCAGAAUGAGUGACAGGGCGACCUCUGGUGAAAUAAAAGGGUAUAAGCCCUUGAAGGCUCAGCUUGAACAGCUGAAGAAAGCUGUUCGACUGGCUAAUGCUGGAACAUUAAAAGCGGCUGAAAAAGAAUGUCAGGCUAUGGAGCUUGAGGUAAGUAAGCUCAUCACAUCUCAACAAAAGAAAUUGAGUGAUGAAAUAGCUCUGAGCUUGGUGUUUCAAGCUGAAGGGAAAAGAUGUGAAGAACAACUGAAGCAACUGGAAGAGGAGUCUGUGGGUCGCUCGGUGAAUAGAAAGACCAAGGCAGAAAUGAAGGACCUCAGAGAAGUGCAUGACAAGUGCUCUAAGUGGUUGUUUUUGUGGAAUGCCGCAAAAUCUUGGAUGAAGGAGGAUGACACGGCCAGAGCAGGGGAUAUGGUGAGUAUAAUGGCCUCAGUAAAA